UAAUGACAGAGGUACAACAAACAUAUUUGAACCAGGCUAGGUCCGGAAGGAAGCAACCUUAGAAAUCCCUGUUUGUGUGUACCUUUUAUUUAGCCGGA
rnacentral:SRP_RNA from 1 species